rnacentral:lncRNA from 1 species
GUAUGAGGUGUAGGUGUAAGAAUGCUUUUAUUGUUCGAUCAGACUUUAGGGUUUGAGAAAACCCAGGCGGGAUCUUAAUGGGUUUGUUUUCUCAUUCCAGCCCUCAUACUCAGGCACCGGUUUCUCCAGUUCUCUAAUGUUUAACUUAUGACUUCAUAAUUAUAGUAAAGGGUUAGUGGAAACUGUUCUGGUUGCUAAUGGAAACCUGGCCUGCUACAAUGGUGUCCCAUAAGUCUCUUAGGAUCUGUUUACUUUUCUUAAAUUGUUUUUCUAUUUCUCAGAUUCAAAAAUUUCCAUUAUUUUGCCUUCAAAUUUGUUAAUUCAUUCUUCUACUUGCUCAAAUCUCCCUUUGAAUACUUCCAGUGAAGUUUUCAUUUUAGUUACUGCGUUUUUCAGCUCCAGACUUUGUUUUAGGUUUCUUUUUAGCUCUUCUACCUUUUUAUUGGUAUUUCCGUUUUGACUUUCUUCAUCUUUUUUUAGUUCUUUUGGCAUCUUUAAGACAGUUUAGUAGAUCCGCCAUCAAGUCUGUUUCAGGGACAGUUUCUGUUUACUGUUUUUCCUUUGACUAGGCCAUAUUUUCCUGUUUCCUUAUAUGCUUUAUGAUUUUUUUUUGUCAUUGAAAAGCAAACAUUUGAAUACAAUAAUGUGAUAACUCUGGAAAUAAGAUUCUCCUUCUUCCCAAGAAAAGAGAAAAAGAAAAAAUGAAGCAGGGAGCGAAAGGUGCUGGCUUUUUAAAUCCCGCAAAGUCACUUGAGCUGGAGGAGUUUGCAACAACUGAGGGUAGGUGCAACAAUAAUGGCCACUCACCCCUUUGUAUCUCUCUGAUCUUUUGUGUUCAGAAGUGACAUUCAGGGCCAGGCGUGGUGGCUGACGCAUGUAAUCCUGGCACUUUCUAGACGUAUCACUUGAGGCCAGCAGUUCAAGACCAGCCUGGGCCAACAUGGUGAAACCCCAUCUCUACUAAAAAUACAAAAAUCAGCCAGGUGUGGUGGCAGGUGCCUGUAAUCCCAGGUACUCGGGAGGCUGAGGCAGGAGAAUUGCUUGAACCCAGGAGGCAGAGGCUGCAGUGAGUUGAGAUUGCACCAAUGCACUCCAGCCUGGAUGAGAGAGUGAGACUCUGUAAAAAAAAAAAAAAAAUUCAGCGAUCAAGCACAGAGUACUAAUAUUUGAAGGACAGAGUCCUUUUUGCUCAACCCCCCAAAAUGUUUGUAAGCUGCUUCAGGAACCUAUGCACUGCUGCCUGCCUUGUAGAUGUGUGGUGAGGGAUGGGUAGUUGCUACUAUGCUAAG